CAAGCACAAGGACCCGAGUUUGAUCCCCAGUACCAAAAAAAAAAAAAAAAAAUACCUGGUCUAAGAAAGCAGUAUGAUUAUGUCAUUAUUCUCCUAGUCUGUGACAGUUCUGACCACUUGUGAUCAUACCACUUUUUUCCUUACUAGCUUAUUAGAUUUUGCUUCCCAUAAACUUUGUACAUCUUUUGCUUCAAGUAUUCCUUAAGAGUUCUCUUCAAAUUCGAGUUCUUGCCUACGAAGUUGUGCUGGAAACUCUCGAUCUAGUUCCCCUUCCGUGUAUGCCGGUGAGAGGAGAGUCCUGGAAAGACAAGGUGACCCAGGGAGACCUGCUGCGGGAGAAGACCGGCUGAGGGGCGCCGCUGUCCCGAGCGGUGAUCACCCCUCCGCUCGCCUUCAGUCUCCCACAUCUGUUUCCUUCCUGGCUCCGUCCACUCGGCUCUCCGCAGCGCACACCCGCAUUUGGUGUCCAGGAUCACCUUCAGAACGCACCUCAAGCCCCUCUCAUCUUCGCUCGCUUGUCUCCGUGGAAUCACAGCUCUUCCGUCGCAGACCAGGCCUUGCUGUGUGCCUUCCGUGGCUCACACCCUCGUGUAACUGAUGCUGACCUGAGCUAUGUUUUAUUUCUGCUCAGCUUGCGACCCUUCCAAUUUUUAGCACAGUGCAUUGGACAAAAUGGAAAACUAAAGCUUUUUUUUAAGUUAAUGAAUGAUGACUGUAUGUACUGAGCCAUGAUAACACAAAAUACCCGUACCAGAAUGUGUGCGCGAGUCCUCGGGUGUACAGACAGACAGACCCCUCUCUCUACACAGAUGUCAAGCCUGGCAUCCUAACCCCAGUUUCACGUAACCUCAGGGUGUGCUUCAUGCAGCUUUGCUGGUGAGAAAGGCGCCCUGGGCCUGCCUCGUCAGGCCGGUGGCUGACGUUAGCUGUGCAAGUAGCUGUUAUCAUGACAGCAGCCAUGAAUGUUGCUCUUCAUUCCGCGGAUGCAGUAGGAGAACAAUGUAUAAUUCUGUGAUUGCAAUUGAUAACCUAACAUAUAACCUUUCAUGAAGUAUUUAGGAAACAGUACGUUUUUGUUUAUUUAAAGGAGGGAAGCACGACCUCAUAUAACUUACACAUUUAACUUACCAAAGAAUCACAAAUCACCUCCCUUCACCCCCUUCACCCUUCCUAUUUACAAAGACUGUUUCCAUUUUUCAUAUUUUUUUCCUUUUCUCUUACUUCCUUUCCCUUCCCCUUUCCACUUCCCCUUUAGCCAUUUUCUUCCUAUUUCACACUAUCAGUUAUACCAUUUGAACCUUAUUUACACUUUUAGUUUUUCACACCAGUUGGUAUUUACUCAACUGUGUCCUAUUUAUUUCACUGAAGAGUAUGGCCUCAAUGUGCAUCCAUUUAGCUAUAAAUUUCUCUAGGUUCUCAUCCUUAUGGCUGAGUAGUAAUAUUCCAUUUUAU
rnacentral:lncRNA from 1 species